UACAGAGGUCCCAAGCGUUGUUCGGAUUCAUUGGGCGUAAAGGGUGCGUAGGCGGCGCCGUAAGUCAGGUGUGAAAUCUCGGGGCUUAACUCCGAAACUGCAUUUGAUACUGCCGUGCUUGAGGACUGGAGAGGAGACUGGAAUUUACGGUGUAGCGGUGAAAUGCGUAGAUAUCGUAAGGAAGACCAGUGGCGAAGGCGGGUCUCUGGACAGUUCCUGACGCUGAGGCACGAAGGCCAGGGGAGCAAACGGG
rnacentral:rRNA from 1 species